GAGUCUUCUAUCUACCACUUAGUGAUUCCUCGUGUCUCUGAGCAACUCUUCAUGACCCCUGAUCAAGCUUUUGCCUAAAAUACAAUAUGUUUAUCCCCAAGAAACAGUCACAUAACAUUGAAUCUUUACUCUUAGCUCAUCUGUGGGUCUUUUCAUUCUGAUGACAAUGAAUAAAAGCUAGAAUGAAAAGAAAUGAAAGUAGCACCUCAGUGGAACACUAGUUGGGUAAUACUGGAUAUCAAUCAAUGACUUCGGCCUCAUCUUCAUUGUUUACUUGGAGGAGGCAGAUCUCAGGACCCAAUCUCCUUCCAUAGCACUUCUAACUCUCCAUCUCAUUAUGCUUCCACUGUAAGGAAAUGGAGCCCAACUCCCAGCCACUCUUGGCUUCUCAAUAUCUUCAAAUGUCAGUGAGAGAUAAAAUAUCCCCAGGCCAUCUCCUCCUGGAAUCAACAGUCUCCAUCAGUGGGGAUGCUCAGAAAAGGAUGAUAAUUUCAUGGCAGGAAGCCACUUAAUCAGACUGUCCUUCAUGUCUGUCAAUAAGAAGAGGCAAUUUAGUGGUGUGUUUGGGUCUGUAGCACAACUCUACUCUGCUAAGUAUGUUCUAAUUAAGUUUUAAUGAUCUAAUGCUGAGAGAAUGCCCCAUUAUGUAUGACCUGAUUCUGUGAGAUCUUUGAUUUCCCAACCCCCUCUGGAGACCUUGCUAUUAAGUCACAAUUUGUUAAGCUUCACUGAAUCAUGCCCUGGGACUCCACAUUUCAGCUCUUGGAGAUGUGUAGGAAGUCAUACAUAGGAGGUUAUCUUCUGCCUGCCCUUCCUCUAUCCAGAUUUUUGCUUUUGCAUUUGUCUCUAGUCAAAGUCAAUAGGAGGAGUAACUAGACUCGUCAAUCCCUUUGACCCUGACUUAUCCUCUUGGCCCAUAUUUUCCCCUAUACCCUGUUUGUUGCUUUUUAUCCUUGGCACUAGCAAUUUCCACUGCUCUUCAUGACUCUUCCAUUCGCCAUGCCACAUCUGGAAAUUGACACCUGGCAGUCACCUCCAGCACCUUCUGCUUCCCUGGUUGUCCACCCACAGGGGAUGGGCCAUAUUAACAUUGAACUCAUGGCCAACAGCUCCAUAACUCAUGCUUGAAUGAAGCCUGUCCAAUACUCGUAUUUUCUCUGUGAGGCACAUCACAGCCUUCUUGUGGUUAGGACCACUAGACAGACUUUGGCACUAUGCUUGGGGGCCAUUUUGGACAGAGAAAUCGCCAACAAAAAGCACAGAUAGAAAGAAAAACAUUUUUUAAAGGGAGUAUAACGAGACCACGAACAACGUCACUUGUUUACAGGAUGAGAGCUGAAACAAGAAGGCAGACCAUUGCCUUCUUUGACCUCUGCUGGGAAUGUGCUCCUUGAGUGACUCAACUAUUUUGCUGCUCUGUGCAUGUCUUCAACGAUGAGUGCUGAAAUGGAGAGGAGGAUUAAUUACAGAGAAUAUCAGUAUGUCAAGGAUCUUUGCUGGCACACUGAUUCUUUCUGCCCAGGAUCACUGGAAUGGCCCAGGUUCUGAUGGAAGGAAGGAAAGAGAGACAGAGUGCCGUCAUCGUUGGAAGAAAUGGCUAUCUGUGUCCCUGGCUAUUCUCCUAAGGUGCUAUUCUGUCCUUAUGACUCAAUUCACCCAAUGAUUUCCUUCACAAAAUCAAGUUCAAGCUUGCUGAAGGUAGUCAACAGGAGUAGACAUCACCUGUCAAUCCCCAGACAAUGGGAGGGAAGAGUAAACUUCCUUCUCACAUCCCCAAACACAGACAAUAAAA